CAGAGUAAACUAACGAGCGAGCGAGGGGCUAAAAUGAGGCAAAUCGGAACCCUGGUCUUGACGAUCAACUUUGUUCAUUUUUGAAAAAGGCAGUAAAAUGCACUACAAUUCAAUGAAUUGGAGUUGGACGAACGAUUUCCACAGGCUAUUUCAAGUGGACUGCAGCCGACGCUUAUCCAAUAAGCAGCGAAAGAGAGCGUUUGCAUACGCUGUAGAAGUAGCUCAACUCGAAAGUAGAUGCUUAGGAACAACGCUUCAGUGGUCCUGUUGGUUAAAAAAAAACUUUUGCUCAUAAGCAAACUGAUGCAUAUUUUCUCUGCCAUCGGCUGUAGUGUGGAACCAGCUGUCCGCAUUGAAGUUUAUCUACCGGUCAUUACAGCAGUCAAUACGAUUCGCCGCGAGUCUGCAAGUUGAUGUUAAUGCUCAAAGAUUGAUUUCCACUAGAUUUUGUAUAUACAUACAUAUGUAUGUUAAUCGUAAUUCAGUAUACGUCCGCUAUCAUACAUAUAUAAAACUGAUCAUAAGUAAAACGACGUCAGUACGAACGAUA